rnacentral:tRNA from 1 species
AGCCGGCUGGCGUAGAGGAGCGCGGCCAUGUUGGUGCCGCUGCCGGAAAUCAGGACGGCGACUCGCGCGGGUCGCCGCCGCGCGGGCCCC